GUCGAGAUAGCUUAAUUAGAGCAAAGCACUGAAAAUGCUUAGGCAGGCGUUAAAGUCCCCUUCUUGACA
rnacentral:tRNA from 1 species